rnacentral:rRNA from 1 species
CCUACGGGUGGCAGCAGUGAGGAAUAUUGGUCAAUGGGCGGAAGCCUGAACCAGCCAAGUCGCGUGAGGGAAUAAGGCCCUACGGGUCGUAAACCUCUUUUCCCGGGGAGCAAGGGCCGGGACGCGUCCCGGCCCGGAGAGUACCCGGAGAAAAAGCAUCGGCUAACUCCGUGCCGGCAGCCGCGGUAAUACGGAGGAUUGGAGCGUAAUCGGGAUUUGUUGGGUUAAAAGGGUGGGUGGGGGGGCUUUUAAGUCAGCGGUAAAAAUUCGGGGCUCAACACCGUCCGGCCGUUGAAACUGGGGGCCUUGAGUGGGCGAGAAGAAGGCGGAAUGCGUGGUGUAGCGGUGAAAUGCAUAGAUAUCACGCAGAACCCCGAUUGCGAAGGCAGCCUUCCGGCGCCCUACUGACGCUGAGGCACGAAAGUGCGGGGAUCGAACAGGAUUAGAUACCCCUGUAGUC